UACGAAGGGGGCUAGCGUUGCUCGGAAUCACUGGGCGUAAAGCGCACGUAGGCGGAUCUUUAAGUCAGGGGUGAAAUCCCGAGGCUCAACCUCGGAACUGCCUUUGAUACUGGGGAUCUCGAGUCCGGAAGAGGUGAGUGGAACUCCGAGUGUAGAGGUGAAAUUCGUAGAUAUUCGGAAGAACACCAGUGGCGAAGGCGGCUCACUGGUCCGGUACUGACGCUGAGGUGCGAAAGCGUGGGGAGCAAACAGGG
rnacentral:rRNA from 1 species